rnacentral:rRNA from 1 species
AUGAGGUUGAUUGAGUUACCAAGCCUGGAGAUAUGGGCAGAAAAUAGUGUGGGAGAGCCUAGUAAUAACCUGGUAACAUUCCGGGUGCUUGAAGAGCUAGAGAUCAAAAAUUGCCCCAAGCUUGCAUGUAUUCCGGUGAUCCCCAUUAUCAGGAUGUUGAAAAUGGUUGGGGUUCACAAUACUGCAGUCGGUUUAGUGUUUAUGGGCAUCCGUCUGGGCUCCUGGCCAUUUCUCCUCAGCUUAACUCUUGGGUCUCCAGAAGACAUACCCAUGUUGCCUGUAGAUGCCCAGCAAAACCAAAGUCAAAUACCUCUUGAAAAACUGAAGUAUUUAGAUCUAGAAGGCCCCAACAGCUUGGUCAGAAGCUCCGGAUUGUCCAGAUCACAUCUUAUGUUUUGGAAGUGCUUUUCGUUGGUGGAACAGCUGACGAUUGACAGUUGCAGCAAUCUUGUCCGCUGGCCAACAGAGGAGCUACGGUGCUUGGAUCGCCUCCGCAUUAUGUACAUCGGAAAUUGUGUGAACCUGGAGGGCAACACUUCAUCCUGUGAGGAGGAAACCCUUCCGCUGUCCCUGGAGAAAUUGUGGAUUAAAGGUUGCCGAAGCGUGGUGACACUGCCUCCAAACCUUGGAAAUCUUGCCAAGCUGAGGUGUCUCUAUGUGAGGAACUGCCCAGAGUUGGCAAGACGAUGCAGAGAAGGUGGGGAGUAUUUUCACUUGCUCUCCUCUGUCCCACGCAAAUACAUUGAUUUUUGA